GGCCCUAUCGUCUAAUGGUUAGGACAUCAGGUUUUCAGCCUGAGAAUCGGGGUUCGAUUCCCCGUGGGGCUG
rnacentral:tRNA from 1 species